GACAGAGGUGCCGAGCGUUAGGCGGAAUCACUGGGCUUAAAGCGUGUGUAGGCGGGUCCGUAAGUACCUUGUGAAAUCCCAUGGCUCAACCAUGGAACUGCUUGGUAUACUGCGGAUCUUGAGCCACCUAGGGGCAAGUGGAACAAACGGUGGAGCGGUGAAAUGCGUAGAUAUCGUUUGGAACGCCAAUGGUGAAAAACAACUUGCUGGGGGUGUGCUGACGCUGAGACACGAAAGCCAGGGGAGCAAACGGG
rnacentral:rRNA from 1 species